rnacentral:rRNA from 1 species
GAUGAACGCUGGCGGCGUGCCUAAUACAUGCAAGUCGAACGAAACUUCUUUAUCACCGAGUGCUUGCACUCACCGAUAAAGAGUUGAGUGGCGAACGGGUGAGUAACACGUGGGCUACCUGCCCAAAAGAGGGGGAUAACACUUGGAAACAGGUGCUAAUACCGCAUAACCAUAGUUACCGCAUGGUAACUAUGUAAAAGGUGGCUAUACUACCGCUUUUGGAUGGGCCCGCGGCGCAUUAGCUAGUUGGUAGGGUAAAGGCUUACCAAGGCAAUGAUGCGUAGCCGAAUUGAGAGGUUGAUCGGCCACAUUGGGACUGAGACACGGCCCAAACUCCUACGGGAGGCAGCAGUAGGGAAUCUUCCACAAAGGGCGAAAGCCUGAUGGAGCAACGCCGCGUGGGUGAAGAAGGUCUUCGGAUCGUAAAACCCUGUUGUUAGAGAAGAAAGUGCGUGAGAGUAACUGUUCACGUUUCGACGGUAUCUAACCAGAAAGCCACGGCUAACUACGUG